rnacentral:rRNA from 1 species
AUUGAACGCUGGCGGCAGGCCUAACACAUGCAAGUCGAGCGGAUGAAGGGAGCUUGCUCCUGGAUUCAGCGGCGGACGGGUGAGUAAUGCCUAGGAAUCUGCCUGGUAGUGGGGGAUAACGUCCGGAAACGGACGCUAAUACCGCAUACGUCCUGAGGGAGAAAGUGGGGGAUCUUCGGACCUCACGCUAUCAGAUGAGCCUAGGUCGGAUUAGCUAGUUGGUGGGGUAAAGGCCUACCAAGGCGACGAUCCGUAACUGGUCUGAGAGGAUGAUCAGUCACACUGGAACUGAGACACGGUCCAGACUCCUACGGGAGGCAGCAGUGGGGAAUAUCGGACAAUGGGCGAAAGCCUGAUCCAGCCAUGCCGCGUGUGUGAAGAAGGUCUUCGGAUUGUAAAGCACUUUAAGUUGGGAGGAAGGGCAGUAAGUUAAUACCUUGCUGUUUUGACGUUACCAACAGAAUAAGCACCGGCUAACUUCGUG